UUCCGGUUGAUCCUGCCAGAGGCUACUGCUAUCGGGGUCCGACUAAGCCAUGCGAGUUGAGAGGGGUAAGCCCUCGGCACAUUGCUCAGUAACACGCGGAUAACCUGCCCUUGGGUUUGGGAUAACCCCGGGAAACUGGGACUAAUACCGGAUAGAUCAAAGAAACUGGAAUGUUCUCUGAUCGAAAGCUCCGGCGCCCAAGGAUGGGUCUGCGGCCUAUCAGGUAGUAGUGGGUGUAACGUACCUACUAGCCUACGACGGGUAAGGGUUGUGAGAGCAAGAGCCCUGAGAUGGAUUCUGAGACAUGAAUCCAGGCCCUACGGGGUGCAGCAGGCGCGAAAACUUUACACUGCGGGAAACCGCGAUAAGGGGACCCCGAGUGCCAGCACCUAGUGCUGGCUGUCCAGCUGUUCAAAUAACAGUUGUUAGCAAGGGCCGGGCAAGACCGGUGCCAGCCGCCGCGGUAACACCGGCGGCCCGAGUGGUAGCCGUUAUUAUUGGGUUUAAAGGGUCCGUAGCCGGCCUAUUAAGUCUCUUGGGAAAUCUGGCGACUCAAUCGUCAGGCGUUCAAGAGAUACUGGUAGGCUUGGGACCGGGAGAGGUGGGAGGUACUCCAGGGGUAGGGGUGAAAUCUCGUAAUCCUUGGGGGACCGCCGAUGGCGAAGGCAUCCCACCAGAACGGGUCCGACGGUGAGGGACGAAAGCUGGGGGCACGAACCGGAUUAGAUACCCGGGUAGUCCCAGCCGUAAACGAUGCUCGCUAGGUGUCAGGUGCGGUGCGACCGCAUCUGGUGCCGCAGUGAAAACUUGAAGCGAGUCACCUGGGAAGUACGGUCGCAAGGCUGAAACUUAAAGGAAUUGGCGGGGGAGCACUACAACGGGUGGAGCCUGCGGUUCAAUUGGAUUCAACGCCGGG
rnacentral:rRNA from 1 species